CUUCGUUCCUGCCUCGCAUCUUCCAUGUGCAACAAAACUGCUAAACAAAGGUUUUUGUACUUCUUUCAAAAGCCUACAAAGGCUAUUUGAUCAGAGGUGACAAAAGAACAAAAGCAGUCUGAGUGUACACCAUGGGAAGCAGUUUCCAGAGGGGAAGUCAUUGUAUUGUCACAGCAGAAACGCACAAGCUUUUGUGCACCAAAGUCUACUUCAUCAGAUGGAUGGACUGUAUCUCAGCCCAGUGAUUCAGUUGGCAGGAGUGACUGAUCAGGAUGAUAGCCUUUCACAACUCAAGCAGGAAGCAAAAGCGGCUCUACUCACUGUGGUACUCUACUUCUACUAGGGAUGCUGAAGAAAAGAAGCUGGACAGGAUCACUUCAAGACAACAUUUCUGACCCUCCAUUAAUGACCAAAUCUGGUAAACCCACAACAUGUGUUGACAUGGUUUGUACAACACACAAAGCCAAACUAUGACUUAGCACAAAUGUGUGAGCUCCAUGACCACUUUGCUCAUCCUUCUGUUCUGCUGCUGCUGUGCCACUGUGAGCUAAGCCAUUGUUUGACUUAGCAUGUCAUCUGAACCCAGGCUUAGGGUUUAUUGCCUGCAGACAAACCACAAGCGGGUUUGGAUAAUACAGUAAGUCAAACCAUGAAGCACAUUAGCAGCAGGACUGAGGAACAAAGCAUUAAUGAGUCCACACAUUAAUGCUAAGCCAUGGUUGGGAUUCGCAUUACAUGUGAAGUGGGGCAUUGUAGUGGAAUUUGGUAAGGAAUUGGAGGGAAAUAAUAUGAGCAGAGAGCACUAGAUAUGGCAUGUCUGUAGCUGGGUUUAUUCCUUUUAACUCCAGCUGCUGAUAAUUCCAGAAUCUUCCAGCUUUUGAAAUGAGCUGUCAGUAAUCCCAGACAUUUUCCUGCCUGAGGCAAAAGACAAGGUGGCACCUCCCCGUCUACACCCAGAAGUCACCCAGAUUGCUUCUUGAAUUGUAUUUCAGUCCUGGCAAAAGGACAGUGGCCUUCACUGCAGGCUAGCUAGCACAUACAGCUCUGCCCACAUCCAUCAGCAUCUGAGGCAGUUGUCUCAUUCUGCCUAACGGCAGGGCCAGGUCCCUAAUAGUCAUUGGAGCCUUUUACAGUACAGUCCUAUCUGUGUAUACUCAGAGCUCAUUUCAGCUUACUUCUAAGGAAAUGGCUGUAAGAUUGCUGCUUUACUUCCACACACACAGAAAUUUCAGAUUGUGAGGGACAAACAACAUAAAAAAGAACUAUAUUUAUGCAAACAACUCACAUCCUUUUCUUUUUUUUUAAAAAGAAACAUCUUUGCUGUUGUUCUUAGCUUUCUCAGACCCCCCUUUCUGCCACACACACACAUAUUUUUGAAUCCAAACAUAGCACUAAGUGAAGUUUGUUUCUAUUUGUUUCAGGAAAACAAAUUCUGUUAUCACAGAAAAUAUGGUCAAAAUUCUAUUUAUAAUCUUUGCUACUUAUUAUGGACAGAUCUCCCAGAAUAUUAACUGUACAUAAUAACCGUGAACAGAUGGCAGCCUCAGCUCUUUCUUGUAAAAAUUAUUAAUUCUUUUAUCCCCACCAUCCAGUGAUCAACCACCUGGCUCUUUAUUGCUCUGACUCCUUCCUCCGCCCCUCCCAAUUCCCAUCCUCCGAUGUGAUGUGACCACCUGCUGCAAUUCCAAUUGUUUGGGCAUAACUCUAAAAAAUAAGGUCUAGAGCAGGAAUAGUCAAAGUGGUACCCUUUAGAUGCUCUGGACUAAAACUCCCACCAGUCCUAGCCAGCCUAGCUAAUGGUCAUGGAUGAAAGGAACAGUAGUUCAAAACAUAUGGUGGCUACCAUGUUGGCUUUCCCGCUUCAAACUAAACAGUGUUUCCGGUUACGCUUGAAUUUUGCUUAGUUUAAACUGUGAUUUGUUAAAACAAACCAGGAACAAGUGAUCCUGACUUGUUCAUUAACCACAGUUAAAAUGAAACCGAGUUCUCCAAGUUUAUACAUAAUAGAGAACUCUGGUUAGCUCAUGGUUCAGCAUUGUACAUUUGAAUCUUUCCUCAUUCUCACAGAUACGUGAACAUAUGAGUGUUGAUGUAACCAUUUACAUACAUCUCAGGAAAACUUUCUUCCUCUAGUUGACAAUGUUGCUAACUUGUCUGAAUGCCAAAUCAUUGCAUAUUUCCUGAACUGCUUAUACACAAUAAAAUUCGUAAUCACAUAAAAUCGCUCGU